rnacentral:rRNA from 1 species
AAAGCGUGCGCAGGCGGUUAUACAAGACAGGCGUGAAAUCCCCGGGCUUAACCUGGGAAUGGCGCCUGUGACUGUAUAGCUAGAGUGUGUCAGAGGGGGGUAGAAUUCCACGUGUAGCAGUGAAAUGCGUAGAUAUGUGGAGGAAUACCAAUGGCGAAGGCAGCCCCCUGGGAUAACACUGACGCUCAUGCACGAAAGCGUGGGGAGCAAACAGGAUUAGAUACCCUAGU